UACAGAGGAGCCAAGCGUUGUCCGGAUUGACUGGGCGUAAAGCGCACGCAGGCGGUUUGGCGCGUGGGGUGUGAAAUCUGGCCGCUUAACGGCCAGGCGCCAUCCCAUACGGCCGAACUGGAGCCUUGCAGAGGUCGGUGGAAUUGCCGGUGUAGUGGUGAAAUGCGUAGAGAUCCGGAAGAACACCGGUGGCGAAGGCGGUCUGCUGGGCAGUUGCUGACGCUGAGGCGCGAUAGCGUGGGGAGCAAACAGG
rnacentral:rRNA from 1 species